rnacentral:rRNA from 1 species
CAUCAUAAUUUUUAUGGAGAGUUUGAUCCUGGCUCAGGAUGAACGCUGGCGGCGUGCCUAAUACAUGCAAGUCGAGCGAACGGACGAGAAGCUUGCUUCUCUGAUGUUAGCGGCGGACGGGUGAGUAACACGUGGAUAACCUACCUAUAAGACUGGGAUAACUUCGGGAAACCGGAGCUAAUACCGGAUAAUAUUUUGAACCGCAUGGUUCAAAAGUGAAAGGCGGUCUUGCUGUCACUUAUAGAUGGAUCCGCGCUGCAUUAGCUAGUUGGUAAGGUAACGGCUUACCAAGGCAACGAUGCAUAGCCGACCUGAGAGGGUGAUCGGCCACACUGGAACUGAGACACGGUCCAGACUCCUACGGGAGGCAGCAGUAGGGAAUCUUCCGCAAUGGGCGAAAGCCUGACGGAGCAACGCCGCGUGAGUGAUGAAGGUCUUCGGAUCGUAAAACUCUGUUAUUAGGGAAGAACAUAUGUGUAAGUAACUGUGCACAUCUUGACGGUACCUAAUCAGAAAGCCACGGCUAACUACGUGCCAGCAGCCGCGGUAAUACGUAGGUGGCAAGCGUUAUCCGGAAUUAUUGGGCGUAAAGCGCGCGUAGGCGGUUUUUUAAGUCUGAUGUGAAAGCCCACGGCUCAACCGUGGAGGGUCAUUGGAAACUGGAAAACUUGAGUGCAGAAGAGGAAAGUGGAAUUCCAUGUGUAGCGGUGAAAUGCGCAGAGAUAUGGAGGAACACCAGUGGCGAAGGCGACUUUCUGGUCUGUAACUGACGCUGAUGUGCGAAAGCGUGGGGAUCAAACAGGAUUAGAUACCCUGGUAGUCCACGCCGUAAACGAUGAGUGCUAAGUGUUAGGGGGUUUCCGCCCCUUAGUGCUGCAGCUAACGCAUUAAGCACUCCGCCUGGGGAGUACGACCGCAAGGUUGAAACUCAAAGGAAUUGACGGGGACCCGCACAAGCGGUGGAGCAUGUGGUUUAAUUCGAAGCAACGCGAAGAACCUUACCAAAUCUUGACAUCCUUUGACAACUCUAGAGAUAGAGCUUUCCCCUUCGGGGGACAAAGUGACAGGUGGUGCAUGGUUGUCGUCAGCUCGUGUCGUGAGAUGUUGGGUUAAGUCCCGCAACGAGCGCAACCCUUAAGCUUAGUUGCCAUCAUUAAGUUGGGCACUCUAAGUUGACUGCCGGUGACAAACCGGAGGAAGGUGGGGAUGACGUCAAAUCAUCAUGCCCCUUAUGAUUUGGGCUACACACGUGCUACAAUGGACAAUACAAAGGGCAGCGAAACCGCGAGGUCAAGCAAAUCCCAUAAAGUUGUUCUCAGUUCGGAUUGUAGUCUGCAACUCGACUACAUGAAGCUGGAAUCGCUAGUAAUCGUAGAUCAGCAUGCUACGGUGAAUACGUUCCCGGGUCUUGUACACACCGCCCGUCACACCACGAGAGUUUGUAACACCCGAAGCCGGUGGAGUAACCUUUUAGGAGCUAGCCGUCGAAGGUGGGACAAAUGAUUGGGGUGAAGUCGUAACAAGGUAGCCGUAUCGGAAGGUGCGGCUGGAUCACCUCCUUUCUA